UCCGUAUCUGCUUUCCAACGUGUUGUCUUUGGAUAUGAAUGGUCACAGGAAGCAUAAGUUGAUAUGCUAAACAUUUCUUUGAAUUGAAGCAGUGCAACAGCGUCAUCAUGACGGCACAAAUGAUCUCCCAAGAAAGUGAA